rfam:Streptomyces sp. MMG1522 P406contig25.1, whole genome shotgun sequence.
ACCAGACCACUCCCUACUCGGAUCGUCCGGCACGUUCCUGCCGGUUGAGGAGAAGAUC